GACGAACGCUGGCGGCGUGCCUAAUACAUGCAAGUCGAGCGCAGGAAACUGACGGAACUCUUCGGAGGAAAGGCAGCGGAAUGAGCGGCGGACGGGUGAGUAACACGUAAGGAACCUGCCUCAAGGAUUGGGAUAACUCCGAGAAAUCGGAGCUAAUACCGAAUAGUUCAACGGACCGCAUGGUCCGCUGAUGAAAGGCGCUCCGGCGUCACCUUGAGAUGGCCUUGCGGUGCAUUAGCUAGUUGGUGGGGUAACGGCCCACCAAGGCGACGAUGCAAAGCCGACCUGAGAGGGUGAUCGGCCACACUGGGACUGAGACACGGCCCAGACUCCUACGGGAGGCAGCAGUAGGGAAUAUUCCACAAUGGACGAAAGUCUGAUGGAGCAACGCCGCGUGAGUGAUGAAGGUUUUCGGAUAAUAAAACUCUGUUGUAAGGGAAGAACACGUACGAGAGGGAAUGCUCGUACCUUGACGGUACCUUACGAGAAAGCCACGGCUAACUACGUGCCAGCCGCCGCAGUAA
rnacentral:rRNA from 1 species